UUUUAUAUUGUACAGAAUACUUACGUCGUGAAAAAAUAAAUUUAUCAUUGUCAAGGGAACAUUUAUAGUUAUAUUUUUAAUAAAAACAAGGGUACUUUCUUCAUUGUUGUACUAGACGUCUUCACGUCAAAAACGUGCGAUUUACAGUGAAUUAUCUGACGUUUUGAUCAAACUUGAAAGUUUGUAAUUUGCAUUGUAUGGAUGUAAGAAUUGUGAGGCUUCAUUUUGUAGUUGACAUUGCAAUACUAUUUUAAACAUUAAGAUAAUAUGAGUGAUUUAUAUCCGAAACCAGCUACAGCAUCCUGUGAUUCCAAAAAUGAACAGAUUUAUUACACUUCUGAGAUACGACAGAUGAUGCAUGGUUUUGGUGACUGUUCCGAGCCAUUAAUAGAAUCAGCAAAGAUUAUUGAGGAUGUAGUUUUGCAGCAAAUGAGAACAAUAGUUAAUAAAGCUUACGAAGGUGCUGAUAGAAGAGGUAGUCACACAGUAACUGCAGAAGAUUUUAUAUUUCUCUUGAGGAAAGACAAAGUCAAGUUACAACGUCUUAUAAAAUAUCUUGAACUCAAAGAUUUUAAAGCAACAAUGAAAAAGACAAUUGAUACAGAUCCAAUUGAAAGUGCACUAGAAAGUGACAAUUUUGAUAAGUAUAAAGUUGCUAAGAAAUCGUAUCACAACUUUGUCAGUCUCAUUGAUGUCAAUGGUGAAUUACUCAAAAGUGGUUCAACAGUUGAUUACGUGAAGCAAAACAGAUCUCUUCGUGCAGAAAUGAUGACACGUAAAAUGGACGAAACACGAUAUAUUGAAUUCAGUAAAGCAAGACGAGUAUCAUUUGCCAAUAGCAACCGUCACAAGUUCAGUGAUUGGGUUUGUUCCGAUGGUGACAUAAAUAUAUCCAAGCAAGGAUAUGUAGUACUAGGAUACCUGGCAUAUGAAACAGUCGCCCAAAUAGUUGACCUUGCUUUCAUAGUACGACAGGAUCAAAACAAAAUUCAUGGUGAUGCCAUAGACAGACUCAGAUUGAGUUACUUCAAUCCAUAUACGUAUAAACCCUAUCAACAUAAUAAGGGUGUUAUUACAAAAGCCAUAACGCCUGCAGAAAUAAAUGAAGCUCUCAGAAGGUACUGGUCACCACAACUGGAUAUCUCAGGACCAUUUCAUCGCUCUUCUAUGCGCCGCCAGCAUCCAAAACUCCUUAGCUGCUAAGGAACUAAUCAAAAAGGUGAUGAAAAUUCUGCGUAAAGGCUAAUCACCCCUCAAGAUAUGAGGAACUUGACUCAAGGUGGGGGACAUCAGGUUGAGCCAGGACGACUAGAGUCUAAAUCUGUCUCUGAAUCAGUAUAUAGCGUAACGUUGGGCCGAAGCAUACAUAUAGGAACAAUAAGAGAUAGAUACAUCGGAGUGGGAUUUUCCGUAUGGUUGGGAAAGUUGCCAAUAUAGUUUUAGCUUAAAUUGGAAUGAUGCUUACCCAGGAAUAUACUUUCAUUUUAUAAUUCUUGUAAUUACUAAUAUGAAACAGAGACUUACCAAUCAAUAUAGACUAUUAUAAUAAAACAUAAUACACAAUACAUAUUGCAGUUACAUAUAGUAAGGAUGAAAAUGGGACCCUUAAUUUGAUGUACUUGGCCAAUCAUUAGCUUAAUUUAAGUUAAAUUUUUAUAAGAUAAACAAAAUUUUUUAAUUAUCGUUGUAGCAUCCAUAAAGUAUGUUAAAACCCAAAUCAAAGUAGAGUUACGGGUAAGAAAUUAAGUUGCUUCCAAAAUCAUUUUAUAUAACAUCACAUCUUCUAAAUAUCGCCAUCUGUAGGAUUUAUGUUUCACUGACUUAUACGUUUUCAUGUAAACUGACAUUUUAGGUUUCUCCAUUGUAAAUUAGGCUUAAAGUCCAAGUGCGCGUCUGCUCCGUGAUAUUAGUCAAGUAAACGGACGCGGCCUUAAAAGAAGUUCGUGGAGUCACCGGUAGGGUCGUGCGGGUAACACGGCGUCGCCGGGAAUUGACCUUGGUGGUGGCUAGGUAGACGGAAGGCGCUGAGGCGCUUUGGAAAAGGCAGGGAAGCAGCCCGCGUUCGCAUGCCUCGUUCGCCGCCCAUUGUUAUCCUUGUCGCGUGUAAUGGCUACCGCGGAGUUUGUUGACGGUGCUCGGUAUAUCCGUUUGUGCGCCGAUCGGCCGUGAAAGGGCCCUGUAGACGUGGUCAGUCUCAGGGGGAAGGUCUUGUGACUAUCUGGUGCAACAUAAAGUCGAUUUUAUGCCAGCGAGAGGCUCGGGAGCCGUUCGCGAGUCGCCGCUUGGGCGACAUUCGCCGUAUGAGCCAACGCUCUUCUUUGACAAGCAAGCAAUAGGGACGUGCAAGGUAUCGACUACCUGGUUGCGGUAGCCAUCCCUUUUCGUUCGAAAAGCAGCCUCAUCGUGACGCGGAUGUGAUAACGUGCUUUAUUUAAUCCCUGAUAGAAGUAUCAACUCGUUGGAUUUUGGCAUCGAUUUUUUUUUAUAUUCACCCAAUCCCAAAAGACCCUGUGAUUUCGUAUGCCGAUUUGCCAACACCGUCUUCGACUUCGAUUCACCUGUGACGACCCACUCAAAG